UACGUAGGGUGCGAGCGUUAAUCGGGAAUUACUGGGCGUAAAGCGUGCGCAGGCGGUUUUGUAAGUCAGAUGUGAAAUCCCCGGGCUUAACCCUGGGAACUGCGUUUGAAACUACAAGGCUAGAGUGUGGCAGAGGGGGGUGGAAUUCCACGUGUAGCAGUGAAAUGCGUAGAGAUGCGGAGGAACACCGAUGGCGAAGGCAAUCCCCGUGGACCUGUACUGACGCUCAUGACACGAAAGGCGUGGGGAGCAAACAGGAUU
rnacentral:rRNA from 1 species